rnacentral:tRNA from 1 species
GGGCUGUUAGCUCAGUUGGUAGAGCAGCUGACUCUUAAUCAGCGGGUCGCAGGUUCGAAUCCUGCACAGCCCACCA